UACGUAGGGUGCAAGCGUUGUCCGGAAUUAUUGGGCGUAAAGAGCUCAUAGGCGGUCUGUCGCGUCUGCUGUGAAAACUCAGGGCUUAACCCUGAGCUUGCAGUGGGUACGGGCAGACUAGAGUGCGGUAGGGGAGACUGGAAUUCCUGGUGUAGCGGUGAAGUGCGCAGAUAUCAGGAGGAACACCGGUGGCGAAGGCGGGUCUCUGGGCCGUAACUGACGCUGAGGAGCGAAAGCAUGGGGAGCGAACAGG
rnacentral:rRNA from 1 species